AACGAACGCUGGCGGCAUGCCUAACACAUGCAAGUCGAACGAGACCUUCGGGUCUAGUGGCGCACGGGUGCGUAACGCGUGGGAAUCUGCCCUAGGGUGCGGAAUAACUCGGAGAAAUCCGUGCUAAUACCGCAUAAUGUCUUCGGACCAAAGAUUUAUCGCCCUGGGAUGAGCCCGCGUAGGAUUAGCUAGUUGGUGGGGUAAAGGCCUACCAAGGCGACGAUCCUUAGCUGGUCUGAGAGGAUGAUCAGCCACACUGGGACUGAGACACGGCCCAGACUCCUACGGGAGGCAGCAGUGGGGAAUAUUGGACAAUGGGCGAAAGCCUGAUCCAGCAAUGCCGCGUGAGUGAUGAAGGCCCUAGGGUUGUAAAGCUCUUUUACCCGGGAUGAUAAUGACAGUACCGGGAGAAUAAGACUCCGGCUAACUCCGUGCCAGCAGCCGCGGUAAAGUAU
rnacentral:rRNA from 1 species